AGGGAAUCUUCCACAAUGGACGCAAGUCUGAUGGAGCAACGCCGCGUGAGUGAAGAAGGCUUUCGGGUCGUAAAACUCUGUUAUUGAAGAAGAACGUGUGUGACAGUAACUGGUCAUGCAGUGACGGUAUUCAAUCAGAAAGUCACGGCUAACUACGUGCCAGCAGCCGCGGUAAUACGUAGGUGGCAAGCGUUGUCCGGAUUUAUUGGGCGUAAAGCGAGUGCAGGCGGUUUUUUAAGUCUGAUGUGAAAGCCCUCGACUUAACCGAGGAAGCGCAUCGGAAACUGGGAAACUUGAGUGCAGAAGAGGACAGUGGAACUCCAUGUGUAGCGGUGAAAUGCGUAGAUAUAUGGAAGAACACCAGUGGCGAAGGCGGCUGUCUGGUCUGUAACUGACGCUGAGGCUCGAAAGCAUGGGUAGCGAACAGGAUUAGAUACCCUGGUAGUCCAUGCCGUAAACGAUGAAUGCUAGGUGUUGGAGGGUUUCCGCCCUUCAGUGCCGCAGCUAACGCAUUAAGCAUUCCGCCUGGGGAGUACGACCGCAAGGUUGAAAC
rnacentral:rRNA from 1 species